UACGAAGGGUGCUAGCGUUGUUCGGAAUCACUGGGCGUAAAGCGCACGUAGGCGGAUUUGUAAGUCAGGGGUGAAAUCCCGGGGCUCAACCUCGGAACUGCCUUUGAUACUGCAAAUCUCGAGUCCGAUAGAGGUGGGUGGAAUUCCUAGUGUAGAGGUGAAAUUCGUAGAUAUUAGGAAGAACACCGGUGGCGAAGGCGGCCCACUGGCUCGAUACUGACGCUGAGGUGCGAAAGCGUGGGGAGCAAACAGG
rnacentral:rRNA from 1 species